UACGUAGGGUGCAAGCGUUAAUCGGAAUUACUGGGCGUAAAGCGUGCGCAGGCGGUUAUGUAAGGCAGUUGUGAAAUCCCCGGGCUCAACCUGGGAACUGCAUCUGUGACUGCAUAGCUAGAGUACGGUAGAGGGGGAUGGAAUUCCGCGUGUAGCAGUGAAAUGCGUAGAUAUGCGGAGGAACACCGAUGGCGAAGGCAAUCCCCUGGACCUGUACUGACGCUCAUGCACGAAAGCGUGGGGAGCAAACAGG
rnacentral:rRNA from 1 species